CUCAGUAAUGACGCAUGCUAGAUAGAUACUGUGCAAAUGGGUGUUUAACUUCACAUAGGAGACCCUGAGAGCAGAAGAUGUGGGCUCUCUGAGGAAGGAGGAAGAAGAAAUAAACGUCAAGAGAAAGAAAAGUGUUGAUCCACCAUGAAGGGAAUGAAGAGGAAGAAUCCCAGAUGAAGAAUUUGGAGCCACUCCACAAGAUGAAUGUCAAUUUGUGGUCAAGUGAUAUAAUGGAAAGAUCAUGGGUUAUGGAAGUAGAGCAUCUGGGCUCAAAUCCUGCCUCUAAAGUUUAUUAUUUGGGCAAAUUUUCCUUGGACAAGCCACUCUAACUCCCAAGGUCUCAGUUUCCUCAUCUGUAAAAUAAACCUUUCAUAUCCUUUCUUGCUUUAGUUCUU
rnacentral:lncRNA from 1 species